UGAGACAUGCAAGACCUAUUGUACCACUUAGCACUAGAGCUGCAAUCUUGGGGUGGCUUCCUAAGUCAGUGCAGUCUGAACUCUGAAGCAAACCCAAACAGAUGUACUUGAAUACAAACCUACUAUACAUAAUUUAGUUGAACAAGAAUCAUACACUCUGUUUUUAAGGCGUCCCUGAGGCGUCUCUCUCCUGUUUCCUCUGGCGGCGGCUUCCUCCUCAGAUCUGCGCCAGCUUCCUCCUCUCCGGCUGCAGCUCCUCCCCCUCCCCCUCUCCAGUUGCAGCUCCUCCCUCUUCUCCUCUGGCGCAACCCUCUUCCACCAGAUCAGCACCAGAACAAGUGUUGCUGCAGUAGCCACUGGUCAGGUGUCCCUGCUCUGAUGAAUCCUAGGAGAAGAGCUAGAUCUUACUCCAGUGUACAUUAUGUGGCAAGAUAAUCCAUGCUGGAGUGAAAAGGCUGAAGCAGCACCUUUCUGGGGUUUCCAGUGAUGCGGAUAAGUGUCCCGAGGCAUCCAUGGAGAUUAGGAUAGAGAUGCGCAAUUCCUUAAACAGUGGAAAGUUUAAAGCUACAGCGCGAUAUAUUGAUGAGGAGGAUGAAGCUGAAGUUCAAAGGCACCGUUCUGUCAUGUACAGAAGAUAAUUUGAGGCCUAUGCCUUGGUAACAGUUUAUAUGUUAAUGCUAGUUGUUAAAUCUCCUAAUUGACUGCCAUCUAUUAUGUAUGUAUGUACAAUUUAUUAAGUUAA